rnacentral:rRNA from 1 species
UGACGGAAAGACCCCAAGAGCAUAGGCGUUGGCCAGUAUCAGCUUCGGAAAGACCCCAAGAGCUUUUUUUGUGUUAGAUUUGUUUGGGGUAAAUGUAGAUUAUUCAUUUAUUUUUAGAUCCUUCGUGGAUAAAGGAUAAAGUUACCUUGGGGAUAACUGAGUAAAGGGCAGGGAGAGGUCCUAUUGAUCUGUUUAUUACUACCUCGAUGUUGGCUUGUUGAACCUUUUCGGUGACGUACCGCGAAGCCGAAGGGGCUUGUUGAACCUAUUCGGUGA